UAAAGAACUUUAAUUAAAGAACUUUAAAUUACGAAAAUGAAUUAUGAAAAAGAACUUUAAAUUACGAAUAUUACUGUACCUUUUGUUAUUUGCAUGUGUGUGUGUGUGUGUGUGUGUGUGUGUGUGUGUGGGGAAUAAGUGUAAUUGUGUUAUCCCUCAAGGGGGCGCACAAAAAUUUUAGCAUCUAAUUUUUCAUUUCCCCCCCUCUCCCCUGUAACUAAUGACUGGCGCCUAAAGCUUUAA